CCCGGCGGGCUCCCUCCGCUGUGGGGCUGCGGACGGCAGCGGGGCCCGCUCCGUGGUGCCAGGUCGACACGGGGUGAAGCGCUCUGCUGCGGGGGGGAGGCGGACUACAGGUCCCGGCGUGCCCCGCGCGGCCGUAGGGAGGGAGGCGGCAGCGCGGCAGCGCGGGGCGUGCCGGGACUUGUAGUCCGCGCGGGCGGCGGCCGCGUGUGCGGCGGGGGCCAUCUUGCCACACGUAUGGCUGGGGAGGGGAGCAGCCCCUGCCUGGGGUGGCACAGCCCCGUGCUGCGAGAUGCUAAAAGCUGCGGCUAUAACGCUGAUAAAUGGCUUGGCAGAAGUGCAACAAUAGGAAAGAGGUGUUUCAAUAAGGCUUAUGGGUCACGGCAGUAUUUGUUGCAGAGGACUCAGAAUCAGAGAGUUGCCUUAUACCAAGUUACAGAAAUAGUUAUUGUAAAAUCCAUGGAUACUGCCAAAAAUACUUAAUUGUUUUUUUAACGUGAGCAAUCUGAUCAUUUCAGUGUCAUAACUAUUGAUGCUUGCUUUUCUUUCUAGGUAAUGAGAAGAAAAUAAAAGGGAUUUAUUGAAAUUAUAAAAAAAAAAAAACGUGGCUUAAGGUAUGAAGUGGAAGUUUUCAAUGAUGACCAAUAUAUUAUACAGAAGCAGUAAGCCCUUUAUAGAAGCACCAUCUGAACUAGAAGAAUAUUUGGUACACAGAAGUGGAUUUUCAUGAAAGCUAUCUUUUCAAUAAUUUGCAGGGAUACAUUAAUAUGAAUGAUGUAUGAGCAGCUUUGAAUAAUGGGAAAAUUCAUUGUGAUUGAUUUCCUGGUGACAACAGGAUUUCCUGGUACAACACACAGAGAUGCUUGAAGGCUGCUUCUUGAAGGCAUGCAUGUGGCCCAAACUGUAUGAACAAAUGCUUUUAGUUUGUUCAGUGCUUGAGUUGGAACAUUUUUGUCAGCGCUGCCUGACAAAUGUGGAUGAUCUGUAACUGGAAGAAAGUGUAAUGUCUGAAGAGCUUUUCUCGCCUGGAGUGGGACCAUGCUUUUUAAAACCCUACUGAAACAGUUAUUGCAAUUGUUUAGCAGAUACUGUUUUCAAUAACUGCAUGUGAACCAAAAUCACUGUCUGCAUAUUUAAAAAACACUUUUCCGUUAAUAACAAGCUGCCAACUGUAGGAAGGAUAAUAAAUAGGGAAGUGAGUGAUCUUUACGUGAAAAAGAAACCCGUGAGUUUAUUGACCCCUUCAAAAUACAAGGGCAUGCAGACUUGCUGAUACUGAGCAUCUGUAACUUAAUAACUGGAAGUUGCAGGUAGGCUGUGCACAUGUUGGUUACACAAAUUUAAACAGUCUGAUUCCUGAAGGUGGUAUCAUCUGGGAGAUAGGUGAGGUGGUGGUGCAGAAGCAUAAACUUGAAACACUUGUAAGGAGGGAAUUCAGGUGUCAUGAGGGAAGUUGUGGUUACAAAAAAGGCAUGGACUAAAGCUUGCACUGGCUUCUGUAUCUACUGGGGGAAAAGAAAGGGGGGAGAAGGAAGGUGGGGCUUCAUAGGCUGCCAGUUUAGUGUGAGAAGACCAAUACCACAAUGGAACUGUGCCUUUGGUGGAAAACACUGGCAGUGCUACCUGUUCCCUGUGUGAGGGGAAAUGUCAGCAGAGGGAGAAGGAGUACACUGCAUUAGAACUUCUGCUUGAAGCAGUCAGUUGAAUACUAACCAUGCAGUAACAUGUUAGCAGUGUAUUUGUGUGCAGCAAACAAGCACUCCUCCACAAAGGGGAGGGAUCAGGAACUGGUUGCCUCAGUUGUCUUUAAAGACAAGUUAUGCAUACCUAAGAUGCAAUCGACCUUUAAGCGUGACUCUUUAACCUCAUUGUCAGGAAUGCUUUCUAAAGGAAGGAAUACAACAAUGGCAUGAUAACCAGCAAUUAAUAAAGCUGCAGUUUUUGUAUUUUGGUACAUUCCAAAAGGAUUCAGUAACCACCCUGUGGUCUGCAGCCAAAAAUGACAGCAUUGGGUGCUAGCAACCAACUUCCUUUAGAAAGUUGGAAGAAUUCCUACAGCUCACGGAGCAUGCUUGCUUGUAAAUAGCAAACACCACAAAUGCAAAACACUGAACAGUAGCAUCUAAAACAUUGGGGAGGUCUGAAGUGAGUAACCAUCUGACUGCAAAGGUGUAUGCUAAUGAUCUGACUACAGUCCAGGUGUGUAUUGGCUUACUGAGUGUCUCAUCUGCUUUGGUUAUUGCUAGUGAGCAGCUACGUUGGCCAAAGGCUGCUCAUUCUCUACAAGUAACUGUAAAUCAGUCUGUUGGAUGUACUGGAAGCUGCAGAAUGUGAUUGCAGAAGAACUUGAUGGCUUUCAACAAAAAUCCUUAUUUUUGUUAAAAACAAAUGUUGCUGAGAAGGGUAGGUAUUCUUAUGUGCAAUGUAUUGUACAUGCUCUUUCUUGAAUAAAGAAGGAUGUGAAAAACUGC